rnacentral:rRNA from 1 species
GACGUAGGGCGCGAGCGUUGUCCGGAUUUAUUGGGCGUAAAGAGCUCGUAGGCGGCUUGUCGCGUCGACUGUGAAAUCCCGCGGCUCAACUGCGGGUCUGCAGUCGAUACGGGCAGGCUAGAGUUCGGUAGGGGAGACUGGAAUUCCUGGUGUAGCGGUGAAAUGCGCAGAUAUCAGGAGGAACACCGAUGGCGAAGGCAGGUCUCUGGGCCGAUACUGACGCUGAGGAGCGAAAGCGUGGGGAGCGAAC